GGAAGUAAAAGUCGUAACAAGGUCUCCGUAGGUGAACCUGCGGAGGGAUCAUUACACAAUAUGAAAGCGGGUUGGGACCUCACCUCGGUGAGGGCUCCAGCUUGUCUGAAUUAUUCACCCAUGUCUUUUGCGCACUUCUUGUUUCCUGGGCGGGUUCGCCCGCCACCAGGACCAAACCAUAAACCUUUUUGUAAUUGCAAUCAGCGUCAGUAAACAAUGUAAUUAUUACAACUUUCAACAACGGAUCUCUUGGUUCUGGCAUCGAUGAAGAACGCAGCGAAAUGCGAUACGUAGUGUGAAUUGCAGAAUUCAGUGAAUCAUCGAAUCUUUGAACGCACAUUGCGCCCUUUGGUAUUCCAAAGGGCAUGCCUGUUCGAGCGUCAUUUGUACCCUCAAGCUUUGCUUGGUGUUGGGCGUCUUUGUCUCUCACGAGACUCGCCUUAAAAUGAUUGGCAGCCGACCUACUGGUUUCGGAGCGCAGCACAAUUCUUGCACUUUGAAUCAGCCUUGGUUGAGCAUCCAUCAAGACCACAUUUUUUUCAACUUUUGACCUCGGAUCAGGUAGGGAUACCCGCUGAACUUAAGCAUAUCAAUAAGCGGA
rnacentral:sRNA from 1 species